GUUAUAUGGUCAAGCGAAUAAGCGCACACGGUGGAUGCCUUGGCGGUCAGAGGCGAUGAAGGACGUGGCAGCCUGCGAAAAGUAUCGGGGAGCUGGCAACAAGCUUUGAUCCGGUAAUGUCCGAAUGGGGAAACCCACCCGCUUGCGGGUAUCCUGCAGUGAAUACAUAGCUGCUGGAAGCGAACCUGGUGAACUGAAAUAUCUAAGUAACCAGAGGAAAAGAAAUCAACCGAGAUUCCGUAAGUAGCGACGAGCGAACGCGGACUAGCCCUUAAGCUGGAUUGGUUCUAGGAAAACGCUCUGGAAAGAGCGGCCAUAGAAGGUGAUAGCCCUGUAUCUGAAAGGGCCAUUCCAGUGAAGACGAGUAGGGCGGGGCACGUGAAACCCUGUCUGAACAUGGGGGGACCAUCCUCCAAGGCUAAAUACUACUGACCGACCGAUAGUGAACCAGUACCGUGAGGGAAAGGCGAAAAGAACCCCGGAGAGGGGAGUGAAAUAGAACCUGAAACCGUGUGCGUACAAGCAGUAGGAGCUCCGCAAGGAGUGACUGCGUACCUUUUGUAUAAUGGGUCAGCGACUUACUGUUCGUGGCAAGCUUAACCGUAUAGGGGAGGCGAAGGGAAACCGAGUCUGAUAAGGGCGCAUAGUCGCGGGCAGUAGACCCGAAACCGGGUGAUCUAGUCAUGCCCAGGGUGAAGGUGCGGUAACACGCACUGGAGGCCCGAACCCACUCCCGUUGCAAAGGUAGGGGAUGAGGUGUGAUUAGGAGUGAAAAGCUAAUCGAACCCGGAGAUAGCUGGUUCUCCUCGAAAGCUAUUUAGGUAGCGCCUCAUAUGUAUCCUCUCGGGGGUAGAGCACUGUUAUGGCUAGGGGGUCAUCGCGACUUACCAAACCAUUGCAAACUCCGAAUACCGAGACGGACUGUAUGGGAGACACACGGCGGGUGCUAACGUCCGUCGUGAAAAGGGAAACAACCCAGACCCACAGCUAAGGUCCCAAAUUCACUGCUAAGUGGAAAACCAUGUGGAAAGGCACAGACAGCCAGGAGGUUGGCUUAGAAGCAGCCACCCUUUAAAGAAAGCGUAAUAGCUCACUGGUCGAGUCGGUCUGCGGGGAAGAUUUAACGGGGCUAAGCAGUGAACCGAAGCUUGGGGUGCAUAACUUUGUUAUGCGCGGUAGAGGAGCGUUCCGUAAGCCGUUGAAGGUGGAUUGAGAAGUCUGCUGGAGGUAUCGGAAGUGCGAAUGCUGACAUGAGUAACGAUAAUGCGGGUGAAAAACCCGCACGCCGAAAGCCCAAGGUUUCCUUGCGCAACGUUAAUCGGCGCAGGGUGAGUCGGCCCCUAAGGCGAGGACGAAAGUCGUAGUCGAUGGGAAGCAGGUUAAUAUUCCUGCACCUCGCGUAAGUGCGAUGGAGGGACGGAGAAGGUUAGGUGUACCAGGCGUUGGUUGUCCUGGGGAAAGGCGGUAGGUUUGGAUCUUUGGCAAAUCCGGGAUCCUUUAAGACCGAGCACCGAGACGAGCCUUUAUGGCGAAGUCACUGAUACCACGCUUCCAGGAAAAGCUCCUAAGCUUCAGCUUACGCAGACCGUACCGUAAACCGACACAGGUGGGUAGGAUGAGAAUUCUCAGGCGCUUGAGAGAACUCGGGUGAAGGAACUAGGCAACAUGGCACCGUAACUUCGGGAGAAGGUGCACCCUUUUUGGUGGCUCGUGCGAGCUAUAGCUGAAGAGGGUCGCAGUAACCAGGCCGCUGCGACUGUUUAUCAAAAACACAGCACUCUGCAAACACGAAAGUGGACGUAUAGGGUGUGACGCCUGCCCGGUGCUGGAAGGUUAAUUGAUGGGGUCAGCCGCAAGGCGAAGCUCUUGAUCGAAGCCCCAGUAAACGGCGGCCGUAACUAUAACGGUCCUAAGGUAGCGAAAUUCCUUGUCGGGUAAGUUCCGACCUGCACGAAUGGCGUAACGACAGCGGCGCUGUCUCCACCCGAGACUCAGUGAAAUUGAAAUCGCUGUGAAGAUGCAGCGUUCCCGUGGCAAGACGGAAAGACCCCGUGAACCUUUACUAUAGCUUUACACUGAACGUUGAGUUCGUCUGUGUAGGAUAGGUGGGAGGCUAUGAAACCAUGGCGCUAGCUGUGGCGGAGCCAUCCUUGAAAUACCACCCUGUCGUGCUUGACGUUCUAACCUGGGCCCAUUAUCUGGGUCGGGGACCGUGUAUGGUGGGUAGUUUGACUGGGGCGGUCUCCUCCUAAAGAGUAACGGAGGAGCUCGAAGGUACGCUCAGCGCGGUCGGACAUCGCGCACUGUGUGCAAAGGCAUAAGCGUGCUUGACUGCAAGAUCGACGGAUCAAGCAGGUAGGAAACUAGGACUUAGUGAUCCGGUGGUUCUGUAUGGAAGGGCCAUCGCUCAACGGAUAAAAGGUACUCCGGGGAUAACAGGCUGAUACCGCCCAAGAGUUCAUAUCGACGGCGGUGUUUGGCACCUCGAUGUCGGCUCAUCACAUCCUGGGGCUGUAGUCGGUCCCAAGGGUAUGGCUGUUCGCCAUUUAAAGUGGUACGCGAGCUGGGUUCAGAACGUCGUGAGACAGUUCGGUCCCUAUCUGCCAUGGGCGUUGGAGAUUUGAGAGGGGCUGCUCCUAGUACGAGAGGACCGGAGUGGACGAACCUCUGGUGUUCCGGUUGUCACGCCAGUGGCAUUGCCGGGUAGCUAUGUUCGGAAGCGAUAACCGCUGAAAGCAUCUAAGCGGGAAGCGCGCCUCAAGAUGAGAUCUCCCGGGGCACAAGCCCCCUGAAGGAACCAUGUAGACUACGUGGUUGAUAGGUCAGGUGUGUAAGUACAGCAAUGUAUUGAGCUAACUGAUACUAAUGAUCCGUGCGGCUUGACCAUAUAACCU
rnacentral:rRNA from 1 species